GCAAAAGCCAAAAGGGAAGUAUUCUGUUGAUUUGGGCAUACAGUUCAGCCUAGGGCUACAGAGCUGGGUGGGAAAAGGAGAACAGAUCUGAAGCAGCAACCAGAACUGAUCCAGCUACUUAGUAACCCCUAAGCCACCUACCUCUUUGCCAUCUUCUUUCCAAUUGUCUUUGCAUUUUUGCAUAUUCUUAUUGUGUCAAAAUGAAAUGAAGAAUACAUUGGGUUGAAAUUAUUAAUGCAGUUACUAAAGAUUGUCUUUGCAAGGGCUUAGAUACAGAUGGAAAAGAUUAAUAUGGUAACUUGCAGAAGACAUAAAGUUCAGGUGUGCCUUUUUAGUCACUCUUCUGCUUGAUUGGGUAUCUCAUGUGAAAAGCAUGCAGUUACUAAAAUUCCAGAUACAAAAGUCUAUCUUCCCGCUUCAAAAUUUAUGGUACCUGUACCUUACCUUGUUUCUGCUUGCACUGAGUCUGGCCUUUUAUCUUCUUAGAUUUCCAAUCACAUUGAUUUCAUCGGUGUUCUUGGUUUACAUGCUUCUUUGGCUUAUAACACAGAUGCACACUGAGUUCAACUUUUGUUUUUUCUUUUUUCUACCAAGGCUUUAUGUUCAUUGUUGUCUUCUGUAUUCAUAACCUCAUGCAUGCCCUUCCCACUUGCCAGAAUUCUUUUUCUCAAACUAGCUCACCUAGUUAAUUUUUGACCAUCCUUAAAUCUCAGCUCCUCUGUGACACAAUGCCUCAUUGCUUCCAACUGGGUGAAGUUAUCCCUCUAUUGCACCAGAUGAUUGUCCUUGUGUAUGCCCUGGAGAUAGGACAUGUAAACAGCAGUCUACCUUAUUUAUUGUUGCAUUACACAGUUUGCCACUGCAUAGUUUUCAGCUAGUCUUUCUGGUUGGCCCAUUAACUGUUACAAGGUCAUAGCUCCUUCUUUUAUUACAGCCUGGCAGAGUAGAUUCUUAAUAAAUGUUAUUGAUCAACUAUUGUGUUUAUUCUGCAUCAUUUACGUUUCCUCUGUAAUUUUGACCUUUCUGA
rnacentral:lncRNA from 10 species